GAUGAAGAACGUAGCGAAAUGCGAUAAGUAAUGUGAAUUGCAGAAUUCAGUGAAUCAUCGAAUCUUUGAACGCACCUUGCGCCCUUUGGCCAUUCCGAAGGGCAUGCCUGUUUGAGUAUCAUGAACACCUCAACUCUUUAUGGUUUUCCAUGAUGAGCUUGGACUCUGGGGGUUUUGCUGGCUCACAGUCGGAUCCUCUAAAAUGAAUCAGCUUACCAGUGUUUGGUGGGUAUCAUGGGUGUGAUAACUAUCUACGCUUGUGGUUUUUCCACCAGGUAACCUUCAGCAGUGGAGGUUCGCUGGAGCUCAUAGAUGUCUCUCCUCAGUGAGGACAGCCCUUUGAAUGUUUGAUCUCAAAUCAGGUAGGACUACCCGCUGAAAUUAAGCAUAUCAAUAAGCGGAGGA
rnacentral:misc_RNA from 1 species